rnacentral:rRNA from 1 species
CUGCUGCGCGAAGUAUGGUGGCUUCGGCCGAGAGGACGACCUAUUUGGGACGAUUGUGCGGCUUCGUGCUGCAUCUCAAUGGACCUGAUAUCAGGCAAG